GAUGAACGCUGGCGGCGUGCCUAAUACAUGCAAGUCGAGCGAACGGACGAGAAGCUUGCUUCUCUGAUGUUAGCGGCGGACGGGUGAGUAACACGUGGAUAACCUACCUGUAAGACUGGGAUAACUUCGGGAAACCGUAGCUAAUACCGGAUAAUAUUUUGAACCGCAUGGUUCAAAAGUGAAAGACGGUCUUGCUGUCACUUAUAGAUGGAUCCGCGCUGCAUUAGCUAGUUGGUAAGGUAACGGCUUACCAAGGCAACGAUGCAUAGCCGACCUGAGAGGCUGAUCCGACCCACUGUAAGUUCGACACGGGCCAGCUUCCUAAGGGAGGCAGCAGUAGGGACACUUGCGCAAUGGGAGAAAGCCUGACGGAGCAACGCGUCGUGAGAGAUGAAGGUCUUCGGAUCGUAAAACUCUGUUAUUAGGGAAGAACAGAUCUGUCAGGAACUGUGCACAUCUUUACGGUACCUAAUCAGAAAGCAACGGCUAACUACGUG
rnacentral:rRNA from 1 species